rnacentral:rRNA from 1 species
GACGAACGCUGGCGGCGUGCUUAACACAUGCAAGUCGAACGAUGAAGCCUUCGGGUGGAUUAGUGGCGAACGGGUGAGUAACACGUGGGCAAUCUGCCCUGCACUCUGGGACAAGCCCUGGAAACGGGGUCUAAUACCUGAUAAUACUGUGCCCCUCAUGGGGGAUGGUUGAAAGCUCCGGCGGUGCGAGGAUGAGCCCGCGGCCUAUCAGCUUGUUGGUGGGGUAAUGGCCUACCAAGGCGACGACGGGUAGCCGGCCUGAGAGGGCGACCGGCCACACUGGGACUGAGACACGGCCCAGACUCCUACGGGAGGCAGCAGUGGGGAAUAUUGCACAAUGGGCGAAAGCCUGAUGCAGC